rnacentral:rRNA from 1 species
UGGGGAAUAUUGCACAAUGGGCGCAAGCCUGAUGCAGCCAUGCCGCGUGUGUGAAGAAGGCCUUCGGGUUGUAAAGUACUUUCAGUCGGGAGGAAGGUGUCAAGGUUAACAACCUUGGCAAUUGACGUUACCGACAGAAGAAGCACCGGCUAACUCCGUGCCAGCAGCCGCGGUAAUACGGAGGGUGCAAGCGUUAAUCGGAAUUACUGGGCGUAAAGCGCACGCAGGCGGUUGAUUGAGUCAGAUGUGAAAUCCCCGGGCUUAACCCGGGAAUUGCAUCUGAUACUGGUCAGCUAGAGUCUUGUAGAGGGGGGUAGAAUUCCAUGUGUAGCGGUGAAAUGCGUAGAGAUGUGGAGGAAUACCGGUGGCGAAGGCGGCCCCCUGGACAAAGACUGACGCUCAGGUGCGAAAGCGUGGGGAGCAAACAGG